ACGGGAGGCAGCAGUGGGGAAUAUUGCACAAUGGGGGAAACCCUGAUGCAGCAACGCCGCGUGAGUGAUGAAGUAUUUCGGAUUGUAAACCUCUGUCAACAGGGACGAAAAUGACGGUACCUGUGAAGGAAGCUCCGGCUAACUACGUGCCAGCAGCCGCGGUAAUACGUAGGGAGCAAGCGUUAUCCGGAAUUACUGGGUGUAAAGGGAGUGUAGGCGGGACUGUAAGUCAGAUGUGAAAUAUGCCGGCUCAACUGGCAGACUGCAUUUGAAACUGCGGUUCUUGAGUGAAGUAGAGGUAAGCGGAAUUCCUAGUGUAGCGGUGAAAUGCGUAGAUAUUAGGAGGAACACCAGUGGCGAAGGCGGCUUACUGGACGAUAACUGACGUUGAGGCUCGAAAGCGUGGGGAGCAAACAGGAUUAGAUACCCUGGUA
rnacentral:rRNA from 1 species